rnacentral:rRNA from 1 species
GAUGAACGCUGGCGGCGUGCCUAAUACAUGCAAGUCGAGCGGACAGACGCUGAUCUUGCUCCUCUCACGUUAGCGGCGGGCGUGUGAGUAACACGUGUAUCACCUACCUAUAAUACUGGUAUAACUUCGGGAAACCGGAUCUAAUACCGGAUAAUAUAUUGAACCGCGGUGUGCGUUAGUAAGAUACGGUUUUUCUGUCACGUCUAGAUGGAUCUGCGCCGCUUGAGCUAGUUGUUAAGGUAACAGCUUACCAAGGCGACGAUGCGUAGCCGACGUGACAGGCGGAUAGGCCGCACUGGAACUGAGCCACGGUCCAGACUACUACGGGAGGCAGCAGUAGGGAACCUUCCGCAAUGGGCGAAAGCCUGACGCAGCAACGCCGAGCGAGUGAUGACGGUCUUCCGAUCGGAAAAACCUGUUAUUAGUGAAGAACCACUGUCUACGUAACCAUGCACGUAUUGACGGUAACGAAUCAGAAAGCCACGGCUAACUACGUG